UACGUAGGGUGCGAGCGUUGUCCGGAUUUAUUGGGCGUAAAGAGCGUGUAGGCGGCUAGAUAGGUCCGUUGUGAAAACUCGAGGCUCAACCUCGAGACGCCGGUGGAAACCAUCUAGCUAGAGUCCGGAAGAGGAGAGUGGAAUUCCUGGUGUAGCGGUGAAAUGCGCAGAUAUCAGGAGGAACACCGAUGGCGAAGGCAGGUCUCUGGGCCAUAACUGACGCUGAGAAGCGAAAGCAUGGGGAGCGAACAGG
rnacentral:rRNA from 1 species